UAGAUUUUCCCAGUGCCUGAUAUCAAGCUUUCACUUUUCGGGUCCUGCCUGAACUCCAUGGACUUCUAGCAGGAGGAGUACAAUCAUCCCUAGACACAGCGCCAAUUGCUUACUCAACACCAUCUUGCCUUUCAUUUCCAGCCAUCAGUUUUGUGAAUGAGAACUCAAGUUGCACCAGCUAUUGGCUUCCUGGAAUUGAUAGAGACAUUUAACAGCAGCAAGAUCUGUGAAGCAUUUGUUCCUGCCACUGCCCAUCAACUGAAUACAACCUAGCAGGUAGCCAUGUAAAACUUCCUCAGUUUGCAAAAGAGGGUAGAAAAGUAUCAUUAUCUUGCUCAUUAGGGCUUUUGCCCCAUCAGCUUCAAUUAAGUUGAAACUGGAACAAGUUCAUUUCAC
rnacentral:lncRNA from 1 species